GAGUUUGAUCAUGGCUCAGGACGAUCGCUGGCGGCGUGCUUAACACAUGCAAGUCGAACGGGCCUUGUCCCCUUUUUUUUGGGGGUGGGGUUAGUGGCGAACGGGUGAGUAACACGUGAGUAACCUGCCCCUCACUUCUGGAUAACCGCUUGAAAGGGUGGCUAAUACGGGGUGUUCUGGCCUGCUCGCAUGGGUGGGUUUGGAAAGAUUCGACCGGUUUUGGUUGUUUUGGUGGGGGAUGGGCUCGCGGCCUAUCAGCUUGUUGGUGGGGUGAUGGCCUGCCAAGGCUUUGACGGGUAGCCGGCCUGAGAGGGUGGGCGGUCACACUGGGACUGAGACACGGCCCAGACUCCUACGGGAGGCAGCAGUGGGGAAUAUUGCACAAUGGGCGCAAGCCUGAUGCAGCGACGCCGCGUGAGGGAUGGAGGCCUUCGGGUUGUGAACCUCUUUCGCCAGUGAAGAAGGUCCUGCUCUUUGUGGUGGGAUUGACGGUAGCUGGGUUAAUGAAGCGCCGGCUAACUACGUGCCAGCAGCCGCGGUAAUACGUAGGGCGCGAGCGUUGUCCGGAAUUAUUGGGCGUAAAGGGCUUGUAGGCGGCUGGUCGCGUCUGCCGUGAAAUCCUCUGGCUCAGCUGGGGGCGUGCGGUGGGUACGGGCUGGCUUGAGUGCGGUAGGGGAGACUGGAACUCCUGGUGUAGCGGUGGAAUGCGCAGAUAUCAGGAGGAACACCGGUGGCGAAGGCGGGUCUCUGGGCCGUUACUGACGCUGAGGAGCGAAAGCGUGGGGAGCGAACAGGAUUAGAUACCCUGGUAGUCCACGCUGUAAACGUUGGGCACUAGGUGUGGGGGGCCUUUUCCGGGUUUUCCGCGCCGUAGCUAACGCAUUAAGUGCCCCGCCUGGGGAGUACGGCCGCAAGGCUAAAACUCAAAGGAAUUGACGGGGGCCCGCACAAGCGGCGGAGCAUGCGGAUUAAUUCGAUGCAACGCGAAGAACCUUACCAAGGCUUGACAUGGGCUGGAUUGCUUCGGAGACGGGGUUUCCCUUUUUUGGGCUGGUUCACAGGUGGUGCAUGGUUGUCGUCAGCUCGUGUCGUGAGAUGUUGGGUUAAGUCCCGCAACGAGCGCAACCCUUGUCUCGUGUUGCCAGCACGUUGUGGUGGGGACUCGCGGGAGACUGCCGGGGUUAACUCGGAGGAAGGUGGGAUGACGUCAAAUCAUCAUGCCCCUUAUGUCUUGGGCUUCACGCAUGCUACAAUGGCCGGUACAGUGGGUUGCGAUGCUGUGAGGCGGAGCGAAUCCCUGAAAGCCGGUCUCAGUUCGGAUCGGUGUCUGCAACUCGACACCGUGAAGUUGGAGUCGCUAGUAAUCGCAGAUCAGCAGCGCUGCGGUGAAUACGUUCUCGGGCCUUGUACACACCGCCCGUC
rnacentral:rRNA from 1 species